rnacentral:lncRNA from 1 species
ACACGGAAGCAAACAGUAAGUUUGGUUGUGAUAUGCAAACGGAAAUUAGCUCGACUUGGGGAGCUGGGAGAGCAUGUUAAUUGCCCACUUCAACACACAGCCCAGCUCUUCUUCACUCCAGCAAAUACUGAACAUUGAGUCAGUGAACUGGAGAUUGUAUUUCGUCAGAAGUCCCAUAUUGCCCAUAUUGAAUUUUUUUUAUUCUCACACAAAAGUGGUCCCUCC